GGGGCUGUAGCUAAGUGGCAGAGUGCUUGCCUAGCAUGCAUGAAGCACUGAGUUCGAUCCUCAGCACCA
rnacentral:tRNA from 1 species